rnacentral:lncRNA from 1 species
CAAGAAAAGGAAGUGUAAUUGAAUCUUUAAGGGCCAAAUUCAGGAGAGUGCUGAAAAGAUACCAGGAAUUAGAGCUUCCAACUUCUCUUUCUCUGGAGUCUCUGGAUCUCCUAUGACAGCUUACCUCUUUUGGUCUUGGCACUGUUUUUCUUCUUUUUCUCUUCAACUUAUGUAAGGCUCAAAUAUAGUUUGUAAUAUACAUGUAUUUCCAUAUCCAAUAACAAUAGCUAAUUGAUAGAAUCUCUUUGUGUCGCAAUUUCAAACUCCUAAGACAAUUUAAUCAACUUGGUUUGGUUCUGUUAUUACCCUUGAUUAGACUUGGAAACUCCUCGCCUCCUCCCUGGAAAAUUUAUCUAUGAAACUGGUUCAUGGCAGGGUUGAGGAGUCUACCCGGCCCAGAUGUCAUAGAGCUGUCUCUGGAUAUCCUGGCAUAGAAUUAACCUUCCAAACGGCAGAGGACCUGUGUGAGCUUCAUCUACAUGAUUGUUUUCUAGAAGAUUAUCCUACAUUGUGCAUUCUUCCUCUGCCUAAAGGUGUGAAGAAGUGUACACCAAACAAAAUGAGUAACCUCUCCAGUUCCUUCUGCGCUAUCUCUUCAACCUUCACUAACACUCCUGAAGCCACCUGACACAUUAUAAGAAUAUCGAG